AACGCACGAGACCUGCGGACCUGCGGAGGGAUCAUUACCGAGUGAGGGCCCGCCGGGUCCAACCUCCCACCCGUGUCUAUCGUACCUUGUUGCUUCGGCAGGCCCGCCUCACGGCCGCCGGGGGCUUCGCCCCGGGCCCGCGCCUGCCGGAGACAAUCUCGAACGCUGUCUGAAGUUUGCAGUCUGAGCGAAUAGCUAAAUUAGUUAAAACUUUCAACAACGGAUCUCUAGAUCGGAAGA
rnacentral:misc_RNA from 1 species